rnacentral:rRNA from 1 species
CCUACGGGAGACUGCAGUCGAGAAUCAUUCACAAUGGGGGAAACCCUGAUGGUGCGACGCCGCGUGGGGGAAUGAAGGUCUUCGGAUUGUAAACCCCUGUCAUGUGGGAGCAAAUUAAAAAGAUAGUACCACAAGAGGAAGAGACGGCUAACUCUGUGCCAGCAGCCGCGGUAAUACAGAGGUCUCAAGCGUUGUUCGGAAUCACUGGGCGUAAAGCGUGCGUAGGCUGUUUCGUAAGUCGUGUGUGAAAGGCGCGGGCUCAACCCGCGGACGGCACAUGAUACUGCGAGACUAGAGUAAGGGAGGGGGAACCGGAAUGCUCGGUGUAGCAGUGAAAUGCGUAGAUAUCGAGAGGAACACUCGUGGCGAAGGCGGGUUCCUGGACAUUAACUGACGCUGAGGCACGAAGGCCAGGGGAGCGAAAGGGAUUAGAUACCCGUGUAGUC